ensembl:lncRNA
CACUCCUUGGGAGCAGCAGGAGCGAGGGGAGUGGGGACAUUUCCUGAGCUGGGCUUUGCUCAUGGGUGCCUGAAAACACUCCUGUAGGGAGAGCAGUGGGGUGGCAGUCCAGAAGGACAGAGCAGCGUUAAAAGGAGCUGAGGGUGAGGGGUUUAUCCACUGCUUCAGUUGUUGGGAUGCAGCUGGAUGGGAAGUGGAAUCUGAGGAAGGUCUUCAAGCUCUGGCUUUCAGGUGUUGGGCUGUGCCUCAUGAUUCAGUGGAGGUUGAGUUGUACAGCUCUGAGGAUGGUGUGGAGCUGCUUUGGUGUGAUGAAACCCAUUAGGACGGGUCUAAGGAGAGGAGAUGCCACACUGUGGUGUUUAUGACUUCUGGAGAUUCCCUUGAACUCGCUUCUCCAUGCUGAUUCCCUCCUGCUUUCCAUCCUGCCGCUCCUCUGGGGAUUCUGGGGUUGCAGGGGCUGAGGUGUUGCAGCAUCCAGAAUUGAUUUGCUGGCUGGGGUUCCCCGUGUGGCUUUGGGAUGGUGUCACCAGAAACACCGGCUCCCUGUGCCUGGGCAGGGCAGUGCCAUGUGCCAUGGGUGUGCUCCUGACAGGACUGGGACAGGAUUCAUGGCAUGGGUGUGUCCCAGCAGGGCAGGAUUGGGAUCUUUGGACUCGGCAAGGAGGAAUGGGAGCUUCUCCAACGAGGACCGAUGCUGUCCCACCACAUUUUAAAAGAAAUGCAUUUGCAGCACUCCUGGCUGCAGCCUAAGGCAAUCAGAUUGUUUUGUCUCCUUGGAAAAGAGGGGCUGGGGCUCCUGGGGGAAGAGUGGGAAAUCCCUACGGUACCUCUGCAGCAGUCACGGCUGGGCUCAGUGGCUGUCACCUCAUCAAACCUUGUCUCCUUCACAUCACCCCAACCCCAAACUCUGCACCUUGGGGCCAGUGUCCCCUGCUGCCACCGUGGGCUAAACUGGUGUGUCACCAUCCCUGGGGGCUUCAGUCCCUGCUGUGACACCCCGGGAAAGGGACACAAUGCGGGGAGCACCCCGGUGCUGACACCCCAGCCCUGUCCCUGUCCCCGGCACAGCCCUGGCAAAGCGGGCGAGGGGCCCUGUGGCCCGACAGUCCCUCGAGCUCUGUAAACCAAAUUGCAAACUCUUCACUCCAGAGGAGAAAUUGGGCAUCCUGGUAGAACUUGCGAUGACCUCUCCAUCACGCAGGUCCUCGUGGCGAAGGAUCGGCGCUUGGAAGAGGCCCGGGGUGGAAAUGCCAAAGUUCCCCCUGGGUCCCGCUGCCGCCUUCCUCUCCCCCUCCCCGCUGUGUUGGUCUAAAUGAUCUUUCUAUGAAGCCCUGUAGAUGUCAAAAGUAAUUAUGGAGUGUGAUUAGUCCUCUGUGGGUGCUUUCUUUCUUCCCCCCCCCUCCUUUCUCUUUUGCUUUCCCCUUCUCCACUCUUCGGUUUUGGCUCAGUGGAAAAGGUGAGGACAAAGAAUUGCCGCUUGCUUGGACUCAUGAUGUAUCUGUGACUGCGCUAUUAGCUGUCUCCUCCUCCCUCCCCAAAUGGAUAUAAUUUUUGAAGUGUGGAAUUCCCUUCUUGAUAAGUAGGUUUUAAAAAAAAAAAUAAUAAUACUGCACAAUGUGAUACUGUUUCAUAGUUUCUAGGUGGUUGUAUAAAGCAAAGUUAAUGUGAUUGUGUUUUUUCAAAGGAAAAAGUGAUUGGUUACGAAAUCUGUCCUUUUUUCAUUAUUACAAGCUCUUUGUUUUCCAAUGAUCUGAUGGCUCUUUUGUCCCUGGUCUGUGUGUGUGUCUUCCCAAGUGCCACCCCUGUGCUGCAUCCACGCACGGAGCAUUGGCUCCUGCUGCUCUCGGGAGCCGUGGGAUGUCGCUGGAGGCUGGAGGUGGAGGACAUCCAUGUCCUGGGAGGAGGUGGAGGUGGGCAGAGGGGCUCACACCCAACGUGCCAGGAGCUCCUCCUGCCCAGACUGUGCUGUGCUGGCCAAAGGCUCGUGGUCCUUUGGGGAGCCUUUGGUUGCCUCUUUCCAGCCGAUCCCCAGUCCAAGGUGGUGUCCUGCCAGCACAGUGGGUGACCAGAGGCUGAGCAGCCCAGCCCAGGGUUGUUUGGGGUCUGUGCUUUUAUUUUGCUCU